AUAUGUAUGGUGCAACAAGAAAACUAGCUCUGCAAAAGAAUGUGAUUUGUGACAAAUGUGAAGGCCAAGGUGGUAAGAAAGGAGCAGUGGAGUGCUGUCCCAAUUGCUGAGGUACUGGAAUGCAAAUAAGAAUUCAUCAGGUAGGACCUGGAAUGGUUCAGCAAAUUCAGUCUGUCUGCAUGGAGUUCCAGGGCCAUGGGGAGCGGAUCAGUCCUAAAGAUAGAUGUAAAAGCUGCAAUGGAAGGAAGAUAGUUCAAGAGAAGAAAAUUCUAGAAGUUCAUAUUGACAAAGGCAUGAAAGAUGGCCAGAAGAUAACAUCCCAUGGUGAAGGAGACCAAGAACCAGGACUGGAGCCAGGAGAUAUUAUCAUCAUUUUAGAUCAGAAGAAUCAUGCUGUUUUUACACGACGAGGAGAAGACCUUUUCAUGUGUAUGGACAUACAGCUGGUUGAGGCAUUGUGUGGCUUCCAAAAGCCAAUAUCUACUCUUGACAACCGAACCAUAGUCAUCACUUCUCAUCCAGGUCAGAUUGUCAAGCAUGGAGAUAUCAAGUGUGUGCUAAAUGAAGGCAUGCCAAUUUAUCGUAGACCAUAUGAAAAGGGUCGCCUAAUCAUUGAAUUUAAGGUAAACUUUCCUGAGAAUGGCUUUCUCUCCCCGGAUAAACUCUCUUUGCUGGAAAAACUCCUACCUGAGAGGAAGGAAGUAGAAGAGACUGAUGAAAUGGACCAGGUAGAACUAGUGGACUUUGAUCCAAAUCAGGAAAGACAGCGCCAUUACAAUGGAGAAGCAUAUGAGGAUGAUGAACAUCAUCCUCGGGGUGGUGUUCAGUGUCAGACCUCCUAAUGGGGCCAGUGAAUAACACUCACUGCUGGCAUUUUAUUUGCAGUAGUGAUUGAG